UAAAAUAUUUCCAUGUCUGGGUUAGUCCUUCCCUUGGCCCCAACGGAAGAUUCAGUGGGAAAUCAACGUGAACUAACCACCAAGAGUAAAACCUAAACAUUCUCAGUACUUUCCCACUGGUGAAAGCUUCCUAUCACCAUUUACCUUAUACUAUGUCCCCUGCCCAAGAAAGAUGUAGCACCUGCCAAACUGGGCACUUCAAGAAUAAUGGUCCAACUUUUCGCACGCAGUCUGGGAAGGGGAUGCCAAUGAUUUCUUAGGGAGUGCAAGAAGGGAGCAGAAAAGGUCCUCUCAGGAAGGGAUGAAUGAGCUUUGGUGCCGUCUCCUCUGCCUGCUGGAGGAUUCAAAAGCUGUUUGCUUCAGAGACCCUAGGAAGCAGCACUCUGGUCGCCGCUGGCCUGGGGCCUGGGCGAAGCAGGCAGUGUUUACACCUGUCACGAGGGAGGGGGAGGGAGAAAGAGGAAGCCGGAGCAAAGCCCCAAACUUCUCAACAAGCUCCCGGGAGGGAGCGGCCGGUGCGGAGCCGAGGGCAGGUGGAAGCGGAGGGGCAGGGGGAGCCGGCGGCGGCCAGGGACGUGGGAAAAGCUCUCACUUCGCCGGCCGGUGCCCCGGAGGGCGAGGAGGGGCCGUGCGCCUCAGGCGCCGCCGCCGCCGGCGUCCCCGCACCCGCUGUAGAAGAGGACAGAGCCGGGAGCCCGCAGGCCCGCAGAGCCGGCAACGUCCCCGCAGCCCCUGGCUCCGCAGCGGGCAGGUGUCCCCGGCCCAGGCGAGGAUCCGACCGGUGGGCCGGGCCAAAUCCCCUAACCUCCUUCCCCCGCACGGCUGGGAAAGCUGGUGAAGCUUACCUGGUUCAUCCGGGGCGGCCGCGAUGGGCAUGGCUCAGGGGCCCGGGGAGGAACUGGCUCCCCGGGGAAGGACCGGCUAUUCGGACGCCCACCCGGAGUUUCAGUGCUGCCGCGAGACCCCCAUCCCAUUACCCUCCGCCCUCUUCCGCCGCCGCCGCCGUCGCCGCCACCGCCUCCACCUCCUCCUCCGCGGAGACCCCCCGCCCACUCCACACACUCUCCCAUCAUGCAGCGGGGGAACCGCUGCCGCUGAAACGUCACUUCCGGGCGCAGGUGGCUAGGUCGGGGCCCGGCGCUGGUGGUUGCAGAAGCGGGGUGGGGGGUGGGAGGACACACAGGGGGAAUCAGUGUCACAGAAUGCUUACCCCGUGCGCAGGCGCGAUCGUGCAGAGCGCCGGCAGCCAUUUUGGGUGCGGGCAACCUGCCCUUUUCCCUGACUUCCUAGCGAGUCAUCGAGCUGUCGGGUGGGGGGAAAGACGUCCUCCCGCACUCCGCCGCUCCUGAGGCAGCGCUCCGGGCAAGGGGCAGGUGCUCCUCAGCCCGCUAAGAUUAACGUUCAGCUCGGGACCGUCUUAACUCUCUUGCUCUCCAAGUAAAAUUGCAAAGGUUUGAGGUACGGAACUGUAUCUUCACCAGAAACCUACUGGAGAGCACUUAUUAGCUUGCCCUUUUCGCCACGAAAAACGACUUUUUCGUUCACAGUCUAAGUCCCUUCCUCUUUUUAAUUUACGCUGACAGAAGAGGAAGUUGAUAUAUAAGAAGAGUUAAAUCAAAUUUAAAAUGGGAAGCAAGAGGGAAAGCACCCGCCGAACUGAAAACCGGCUUUGAGACCAACAACAACAAAAAUUUUGGGGAUCCUGCUAACAGAUUGAGACGGUGGUCGUUUAUUCAUAUAUGCUGCAUAAGACUAUUCGAUUAAAGUAAAGAAAUAAAAUUAACUUCCGCGUUUCUAUAACAGCCGUCAUAACAUUUUUCUAUCGUCAGUCUUGAUCGUUUGCGUUUUUAUAACCUUUCCCCUUUCAUUGUAAUGAAUAUCUGUUAGAACACCAGCCGCUGUAAAAACCAGAUUGCAAGAUUGAGGGGAUUAUUGUUAUCGUCUGGGAUGAUGAGCCUGGGAUCCUA
ensembl:lncRNA